GGAUGUAUAGCUCAGUUGGAAGAGUGCUUGCCUUGCAUGCAAAGGUCCCUGGGUUCAAUCCCCAGCAACCCCC
rnacentral:tRNA from 1 species